rnacentral:rRNA from 1 species
AGCAGUAGGGAUUCUUCGGCAAUGGGCGCAAGCCUGACGGAGCAACGCCGCGUGAGCGAAGAAGGCCUUCGGGUUGUAAAGCUCAGUCAUCCGGGAAGAGAGGCCAGGGGAGGGAAUGCCCCUGGAGAGACGGUACCGGGAGAGGAAGCCCCGGCUAACUACGUGCCAGCAGCCGCGGUAAUACGUAGGGGGCAAGCGUUGUCCGGAAUCACUGGGCGUAAAGGGUGCGUAGGCGGUUUGUUAAGUCUGAAGUGAAAGUCCAUGGCUCAACCAUGGGAAUGCUUUGGAAACUGGCAGACUUGAGUACUGGAGAGGCAAGGGGAAUUCCACGUGUAGCGGUGAAAUGCGUAGAGAUGUGGAGGAAUACCAGUGGCGAAGGCGCCUUGCU